AAUCCAUGUUUAGGGCAGCCUCAAAUCAAAUUUUUAUACAUUUCCCAUGCUUCAUAUAAUAACUUAAAAUCAUUUUGCUUGAAUUGACCAAUCUCACUCCUGAGUUG